rnacentral:rRNA from 1 species
GACGAACGCUGGCGGCGUGCCUAACACAUGCAAGUCGAGCGAAUGAAAUUCCUUCGGGAACGGAUUUAGCGGCGGACGGGUGAGUAACACGUGGGCAACCUGCCUCAUAGAGGGGAAUAGCCUUCCGAAAGGGAGAUUAAUACCGUAUAAGCUUGUAGUACCGCAUGGUACAGCAAUUAAAGGAGCAAUCCGCUAGGAGAUGGGCCUGCGGCGCAUUAGCUAGUUGGUGAGGUAACGGCGCACCAAGGCGACGAUGCGUAGCCGACCUGGGAGGGUGAUCGGCCACAUUGGGACUGAGACACGGCCCAGACUCCUACGGGAGGCAGCAGUGGGGAAUAUUGCACAAUGGGGGAAACCCUGAUGCAGCAACGCCGCGUGAGUGAUGACGGCCUUCGGGUUGUAAAGCUCUGUCUUCAGGGACGAUAAUGACGGUACCUGAGGAGGAAGCCACGGCUAACUACGUGCCAGCCGCCGCCGUAAUAC